GGCUUCACAGCAAUACAUUUUGGAGGGGGCUAUCCAUGUUUCUCUAAAGCAGGACUGUUGGGAAGAUCAAAAGAAGACAAUAUGAAAGUGGGAAAUAAAACGACUGCAUCCCAUUACAGUGCUAUUCAAAUUCAUGAAGUCUAAAUGACAUUUUUGCCUGCCAAGGAUGGGAGGUCUUCCAAGAUAAUUAUUUCAACCAUGCGUUUUGCACUAACAGAGAAGAAACAACAUUCUCUCUCCAAUGGUCCAUUCCCGAAGAUAAAACCUACGAAGGGAGCAAUACGUUUUCAGACCUAACCCUAAUCACCGCUUGGAGAUUUCCAAAACGCAGCUGCUGCAGCCUCUGUUGUAGCUAAAAUGAUUUAGUGGAGAAUAAAUGUGAUUUAGCGUC